ensembl:snoRNA
CUUCCCCUCCCUUAGUCCAGUCACUCUGUCCCCAGUGGAGUUGUCUGGCAUUGACAGGGGAUACAGCACCAUGGCUCCCUCACCUCUCUCAUCUAGAACCUCUUACAUGGGGCUUGUGAGAGAGCUGAACAUU